CCCAGGAAAGGCAGAAGCCCUAAGCUGUGCCCAACUGGGCAGAGGGAUCCUCCUCCUGGCAUCACUGGCAGAGAAUACCAGGAGGCUAAUCUCGGGCAUUUCUGACCACCCCAUCCUGUAAUUCACCAUGGAUCUGAUGAACACCUCUCCUGAGAAGAUGUGUCAUCUAGAUUUUGAUAAAGCCAGAAUGCUUAUCCCAACUGAA